GUCCUGGAUCCUCCCCACGCACCCCACGGGCUCAGGGUGGCGGCAGUGUUUGCAGACGGAUGCAUCUCCAGAGCGAAGCACAGAAUAGGACCUCAGGGCAUUUCGUAGAGAGCAGGGAAGCAGGAAAUUCUGACGCGGCUACUUGGUGAAACUCAGCAUCACUUCCUGGCCCCGAGUCAUUAGGAAAUUAUCUGUUUCUUUUCAUGUCUGUGUCUCACCGGACUGUGAACUCCCAAGGACAGAGAUAGUAAUAGCACUCUUGGUGAGCUGAGCGUUGCCACUGUCCUCAAUUUGGAGAGGAGGAUGCUGAUACACAGAGAGGUUAAAUGACUGGCUCAGGGAUGGAGCUGGAAUUUGAAUUCAGUCCAACAUGCUCCAGAGCCUCCGUCUCUUAACCCGGGCACCAGCCGUGGUGCCUGCCACGCAGCAGGCAUUCCCUACAGUGUGGUGAGAGGAGCGAGUGGCCUUUGAAAAUGCUGAUGUGGAUGAGCUACAAGAGAAAGAUCCAGAACGCAAUGCUCCCCAAACAUGUUUGAAGACCAUCACCCAAAGACUCCAUUCAAUACGGUGAUGCCAGAAUCGCCCCCUCCCCCUCCCCCACCCCAUCCCCCUCCGGAGAACUCCAUAAAGGCAGAGACCUGCCUUAUUCAUCUUUGCUUCCCCAAAGCACCA